AGAUGAAGUUGCUGGGAAGGCUUCUCCAUCAGCUUGGAUGAAUAAAGUUUUGAAGCCCUUGGAGCCUCCUGCAGAUGUAUCUACAGGGAGGACUUCCCCAGCUUCUCCAGCUCCUACCUUGGAUGCUAUACGCAAGCCCAGCUCCCAUCACAGUGGUACUCCAACAGGGAAAGUCCAAGAUACAACAGAUAAGAUGUCCCUGCAACCAUCCAAACAGAUUAGGCAAGAGCUGAAGGCACCC